UACGGAGGGGACUAGCGUUGUUCGGAAUUACUGGGCGUAAAGCGCACGUAGGCGGAUUUGUAAGUCAGGGGUGAAAUCCCGGGGCUCAACCUCGGAACUGCCUUUGAUACUGCAAAUCUCGAGUCCGGAAGAGGUGAGUGGAAUUCCUAGUGUAGAGGUGAAAUUCGUAGAUAUUAGGAAGAACACCAGUGGCGAAGGCGGCUCACUGGUCCGGUACUGACGCUGAGGUGCGAGAGCGUGGGGAGCGAACCGG
rnacentral:rRNA from 1 species